rnacentral:rRNA from 1 species
AUUGAACGCUGGCGGCAUGCCUUACACAUGCAAGUCGAACGGUAAUAGGUCUUCGGAUGCUGACGAGUGGCGAACGGGUGAGUAAUACAUCGGAACGUGCCUAGUAGUGGGGGAUAACUACUCGAAAGAGUGGCUAAUACCGCAUGAGAUCUACGGAUGAAAGCAGGGGAUCGCAAGACCUUGUGCUACUAAAGCGGCCGAUGGCAGAUUAGGUAGUUGGUGGGAUAAAAGCUUACCAAGCCGACGAUCUGUAGCUGGUCUGAGAGGACGAUCAGCCACACUGGGACUGAGAAACGGCCCAGACUCCUACGGGAGGCAGCAGUGGGGAAUUUUGGACAAUGGGCGCAAGCCUGAUCCAGCAAUGCCGCGUGCAGGAUGAAGGCCCUCGGGUUGUAAACUGCUUUUGUACGGAACGAAAAGCCCCGGGUUAAUACCCUGGGGUCAUGACGGUACCGUAAGAAUAAGCACCGGCUAACUACGUGCCAGCCGCCGCCGUAA